rnacentral:piRNA from 1 species
UACCAAGGAGCAAUCGUAAAGUUUUUGU